UUUCUUGUACAAAUUCAUGGCUUGCUAAUCUCCUUCCCUACUUUCUUGAAAUCCUGAUAAGAAAAGGAAAGACUAUCAUCAUCGUUCAUUUCCACCCAUACACUAAGUAUGCUCUACACUUGCCUCUUUGAGGAUCCCGUGCAUCAGAAAAUAGUGUUAUCACCACUAAUCAGAUAAAAACUACUACAGUUUGCCCUGUGUGUCACCCCUUCCACCCUUUGGUAUUCGGUGUUUUUGGGUGAAGUAGUGGAAACGAGUGGACAUUUUUUUCUCAUCUCAGGGCGUUUAACUCUUUUUUAUAUAGAAUUACUGCCUAAAUCCUUCUAAGGCUCGUUUUGAACCUUUUUCUCCUUAUAAGAAUAGGAUUUUGACCUAAGGAAAUAGAUGUAUAUGGUAAAAUAAUUCUAAAAUUAGUUUCUAUUGUAAGCCCAAUUAAGAAAUCUUACCAGCCCUUCAAGAAUCAAUCUUUAUAGGCAAAAUCUGAUCAUCAGCCUUAGUACAUGUCUAAUAUAGCUCAAGAAAGUGAAUAAAGCCCAAAGAUUCGUCCAAGAAGCAACCAAAAUUCAUGGAGUUAUAGUCUAGCUAUUCUUCACGAAAAUUUGUAGCUUUUUUACUUUUGUUGUUUCUUUAGAUCAAAAACCCUCAAAUACAUAAAAGACAAAUAAUGAUUUAAGAAGUUCAUGAAAAUAUUAAAUAAUUGUAAAGAAAGUAUUAAAAAUUAAGAACUUAUCAAAAAACGAGGCACACAAUAUUGUGGUGGUGAGACAAACCCAAGUUUGUAGAGGCAAAACAAACGACGGUGGCUCGUGAACUUUUGGAAUUAGAACAACUACUCUAAAUAACGGUAAUUGUUUCAUUGAGUUCCUGGGAUUUGAUCAUUAUCUUCAGACGAGUUGAUUGGCUAUGGUAAUGAAGCAUGAAAGACAAUGAGCAAUGAUGGAUAUAGAUUGGAUAAGAGGUGGUGGGUCUAAUUUUCGUAAUGGGGAAAAAUUUUGAAUAAGAAAAAUUAGGGAUUUGAGAGGUUCAAAUGUGUAAGGUAUAACCAUAAAGUUGUUGGAUUCAUAUAUGUUGAAUCUUGAUGAGCAUAUAUUAUAGAUAUAUUUUAUCCUUAAUUAUAUAAUUGUUAGUUUUUUUUUUUGUUAUUUUUAAUUAAUUAAAUUAUUUCAUUGAACAGGGUAAUAAAUUGAAGAUUGGGAAUAAUAUGUGCAUAAAGGGAUCAAAGCUAGAGAGAGUUGAAGAUUGUUUAUGCUCGUUGCCGCGGUGAUAAAGUCGAAAGAAAAAAACCAAUUAAAUCGAUUGGCCGAAUUAAUAGCUAAAGGACAUGAGAAAUAUUAGCCAAAUUAAAUGGGUUGAUUACAAUUCCAAGUGGUGAGCACGUGAGUGAAGCAAAACCAAUUACAAGGCCAAGCCUUUUAGCUUUAAAAUUGGAAUGGUCGGUGGCCCACUUUGGAGAUUAUAAAAAGAAAGCUAAACUUUGGCUUUUGAGGAGGGUAGCCGCCAGAGGAAGCAAGAGCCACCAGACGCAAAAGAAAAGGAGAAGAAGAAUAGCGGCAGCAGUAACAAUUUAAUUCUCCAUGGCUGGUUUUAUUUGCUUUAUUGCUCCCAAUUCAAGUAUGUCUAGCUAAUUUUCUUAUACUGAGGUUAAGAAUGAAACUUCAUUCAAUGAAAUAAUUAUCUUUUAUUUAAUUAAUUCCAUAUAUAUGUUCUUUAAUGUUUAUGGUUCUUGUUUCACAUGAUUAGUUGGAUG
rnacentral:lncRNA from 1 species